rnacentral:rRNA from 1 species
UACGAAGGGGGCUAGCGUUGCUCGGAAUCACUGGGCGUAAAGCGCACGUAGGCGGGUCGUUAAGUCGGGGGUGAAAUCCUGGAGCUCAACUCCAGAACUGCCUUUGAUACUGAAGAUCUUGAGUUCGGGAGAGGUGAGUGGAACUGCGAGUGUAGAGGUGAAAUUCGUAGAUAUUCGCAAGAACACCAGUGGCGAAGGCGGCUCACUGGCCCGAUACCUGACGCUGAGGCACGAAAGCGUGGG